ensembl:lncRNA
CCCCCGUCCCUGGGAUUCUCCAGGCAAGAACACUGGAGUGGGUUGCCGUUUCCUUCUCCAAUGCAUGAAAGGGAAAAGUGAAAGUGAAGUCGCUCAGUCGUGUCCGACUCCUAGCGAUCCCAUGGACUGCAGCCUACCAGGCCCCUCUGUCCAUGGGAUUUUCCAGGCAAGAGUACUGGAGUGGGGUGCCAUUGCCUUCUCCAGUGCAUAUGGCCUUAAUGUUGCAGGUACUGUCAUCAUUAUCUCCAGCGCAGACGAGGACACUUACACGCCCUUUAACGAGGCUUACGGAUCCUUAGUUUUGCAAGUACCUAACCUACAGAGUGUGUGAGCAGCAGAGCCAGCAUUCAAUGGAAAGAGGGAGGAAAGUCUUUCUGAUUCCACCUGUGUCUGCUGCUUUCCUGCCAUCUCUUCAACAGAUUUGUCCCACUGUUGCAAACAUAAGCUGGUAAUACACAAACGCGUAGUCAGAACAAAAAAUUUAAAAAGACAGAACAAAUCCCAUCUGGGCAUUGAUCUGUAUCUCUGGAAUUCAGCGUGGUGUUCUCUCUCAUUUUGGCCAUGCAGACCUUCCAUGGCUUGCUUUUCGCUUCUCUGGUGCCAACGCUGUUUUUGACAAUUGUUUAACGUCCUAUAUGCAUUAAAGACUUUUUCUUUUUUAAAAAAUCUUUAUUGGAGUAUAACUGAUUUACAAUGUUGUGUUAGUUUCAGGUGUACAGCAAAGUGAAUCUGCUAUCCAUACACACAUAUCCACUCUCGUUUAGAUUAUUUUCCCGUGUAGACC